rnacentral:rRNA from 1 species
GACGAACGCUGUCGGCGUGCUUAACACAUGCAAGUCGAACGGAAAGGCCCUGCUUUUGUGGGGUGCUCGAGUGGCGAACGGGUGAGUAACACGUGAGUAACCUGCCCUUGACUUUGGGAUAACUUCAGGAAACUGGGGCUAAUACCGGAUAGGAGCUCCUGCUGCAUGGUGGGGGUUGGAAAGUUUCGGCGGUUGGGGAUGGACUCGCGGCUUAUCAGCUUGUUGGUGGGGUAGUGGCUUACCAAGGCUUUGACGGGUAGCCGGCCUGAGAGGGUGACCGGCCACAUUGGGACUGAGAUACGGCCCAGACUCCUACGGGAGGCAGCAGUGGGGAAUAUUGCACAAUGGGCGGAAGCCUAAUGCAGCAACGCCGCGUGCGGGAUGACGGCCUUCGGGUUGUAAACCGCUUUCGCCUGUGACGAAGCGUGAGUGACGGUAAUGGGUAAAGAAGCACCGGCUAACUACGUGCCAGCAGCCGCGGUGAUACGUAGGGUGCGAGCGUUGUCCGGAUUUAUUGGGCGUAAAGGGCUCGUAGGUGGUUGAUCGCGUCGGAAGUGUAAUCUUGGGGCUUAACCCUGAGCGUGCUUUCGAUACGGGUUGACUUGAGGAAGGUAGGGGAGAAUGGAAUUCCUGGUGGAGCGGUGGAAUGCGCAGAUAUCAGGAGGAACACCAGUGGCGAAGGCGGUUCUCUGGGCCUUUCCUGACGCUGAGGAGCGAAAGCGUGGGGAGCGAACAGGCUUAGAUACCCUGGUAGUCCACGCUGUAAACGGUGGGUACUAGGUGUGGGGUCCAUUCCACGGGUUCCGUGCCGUAGCUAACGCUUUAAGUACCCCGCCUGGGGAGUACGGCCGCAAGGCUAAAACUCAAAGGAAUUGACGGGGCCCCGCACAAGCGGCGGAGCAUGCGGAUUAAUUCGAUGCAACGCGUAGAACCUUACCUGGGUUUGACAUGGAUCGGGAGUGCUCAGAGAUGGGUGUGCCUCUUUUGGGGUCGGUUCACAGGUGGUGCAUGGCUGUCGUCAGCUCGUGUCGUGAGAUGUUGGGUUAAGUCCCGCAACGAGCGCAACCCUUGUUCACUGUUGCCAGCACGUUAUGGUGGGGACUCAGUGGAGACCGCCGGGGUCAACUCGGAGGAAGGUGGGGAUGACGUCAAGUCAUCAUGCCCCUUAUGUCCAGGGCUUCACGCAUGCUACAAUGGCUGGUACAGAGAGUGGCGAGCCUGUGAGGGUGAGCGAAUCUCGGAAAGCCGGUCUCAGUUCGGAUUGGGGUCUGCAACUCGACCUCAUGAAGUCGGAGUCGCUAGUAAUCGCAGAUCAGCAACGCUGCGGUGAAUACGUUCCCGGG